ensembl:misc_RNA Metazoa_SRP Metazoan signal recognition particle RNA
GCUGGGUGUGGUAGCUCAUGCCUGUAAUCCAGCACUUUGGGAGGCUGAGGCAGGAGGAUCGCUUGAGCCCAGGAGUUCAAGACUAGCCUGGGCAACAUAGUGAGACCCGGUCUCUC